CAGCAGCCGCGGUAAUACGGAGGGUGCAAGCGUUAAUCGGAAUUACUGGGCGUAAAGCGCACGCAGGCGGUCUGACAAGUCAGAUGUGAAAUCCCCGGGCUUAACCUGGGAACUGCAUUUGAAACUGUCAGGCUGGAGUCUUGUAGAGGGGGGUAGAAUUCCAGGUGUAGCGGUGAAAUGCGUAGAGAUCUGGAGGAAUACCGGUGGCGAAGGCGGCCCCCUGGACAAAGACUGACGCUCAGGUGCGAAAGCGUGGGGAGCAAACAGGAUUAGAUACCCCGGUAGUUCCUGUCUCUUAUAC
rnacentral:rRNA from 1 species